rnacentral:rRNA from 1 species
UACAGGGGGGGCAAGCGUUGUUCGGAAUUACUGGGCGUAAAGGGCCAGUAGGCGGCCAACUAAGUCACACGUGAAAUCCCCCGGCUUAACCUGGGAACUGCGUCUGAUACUGGACGGCUUGAGUAUGGGAGAGGGAUGUAGAAUUCCAGGUGUAGCGGUGAAAUGCGUAGAUAUCUGGAGGAAUACCGGUGGCGAAGGCGGCAUCCUGGACCAUUACUGACGCUGAGGCGCGAAAGCUAGGGGAGCAAACGGG